rnacentral:rRNA from 1 species
AUUGAACGCUGGCGGCAGGCCUAACACAUGCAAGUCGAGCGGAUGAAGGGUGCUUGCUCCUGGAUUCAGCGGCGGACGGGUGAGUAAUGCAUAGGAAUCUGCCUGGUAGUGGGGGAUAACGUCCGGAAACGGGCGCUAAUACCGCAUACGUCCUGAGGGAGAAAGUGGUGGAUCUUCGGACCUCACGCGAUCAGAUGAGCCUAGGUCGGAUUAGCUAGUUGGUGGGGUAAAGGCCUACCAAGGCGACGAUCCGUAACUGGUCUGAGAGGAUGAUCAGUCACACUGGAACUGAGACACGGUCCAGACUCCUACGGGAGGCAGCAGUAGGGAAUAUUGGACAAUGGGCGAAAGCCUGAUCCAGCCAUGCCGCGUGUGUGAAGAAGGUCUUCGGAUUGUAAAGCACUUUAAGUUGGGAGGAAGGGCAGUAAGUUAAUACCUUGCUGUUUUGACGUUACCAACAGAAUAAGCACCGGCUAACUUCGUG